UGGCCAACAAACAUAGGCAAAAUACCGAGACGACCGGACGAUCACAUUUUUUGCAAAGUUACGGUAACAAGGAACGGAACAUGAACCGUACGUUUUUAUUCUUAUUAUUAUUCUCUCGCAUGCAUCGAUCGAGAUGCAGCAGCUGGCUAGUGGUGAUACGGAUAUACAUACGACAUACGUACGUAGAAGGCGGCACACACACACACAUUCAAGUAGGUACACAGACGUAUGAUUCCAUGGGCUAGCUAGCUGACGUACGGCGAGGGCCAGCUAGCCGUAGCACAUAUUAUGAUCAGCACUGCCUGAUGCACUUGCACCGGCGGAAGGGUCCGUCGCAGUUGCCGC
rnacentral:lncRNA from 1 species